rnacentral:lncRNA from 1 species
CCACGGCACGCCACCUCGGGACAGACGUCUCGAAAUGCUCUUUACCUGCGAGGAGCCCAGAAAGACAGAUACUUCAUAUUCUUUAUGACAAUUAGUUGACCCGUUGCGCCAAAUGGCGCAGAGACCCGCUAAAGCCAUGUUGUCGAUGAAAAUAGUUUCAUUUUGCAAGGACAUAUUCGAUAUUGGUAAUAGAAAACCCAUGUAUUAAAUUAUGCUAUAUUGAAAAUAUGUUUAUCAUGUUGAGAAAUUUGAGUUUGAAAAAAAUCAUACUUGUAUAAUAUGUAUACAACAGUUAAGGAAUCAUUUUUUUAGUUGAAAAUAUGGUUAUCAUCAUGAGAAAUCCGAGUUUGAAAAAAUAAGGACAUGUUUGGAUAAAAUGUAUAGACCAGUUAAGGACGUAUUUUUUUAGUUGUGAUUGUACUGAACUUUUAUUUUCCAUGUGCACGCAAAAGAACCAUCUCCGUGUUGUGCAUAUGGAGGCAUAGGUAUUUGAAAGGCCCAUAUGCUACCUAGCUGAGUCCACGGACAAUUCUGUGUGUGUGGCUCGUCUGGAGUAGAAUAUGAAGCGGUGGGGACUACAUCUAUCGUGCUUGUUUAUCCCCUUUUCUUCCUCGGUUCCUCAUUUAAGCAAGAGAAGCAUUUCCAAAGACACGUACUCAACUGGUGAGAUUUCUCCUUUCCUACUAUUUCGGAUUUCGGAUUUCUCUGCAUGCACUGUUUUUUUAUUGAAGGAUAGUACCGAUCUUACCUUGGGCUGGCAGCCCUCCGGGUGGCAUCAGUUGCCAAAGGAGAGAUCAAUAGGAAUCAAAACACAGAUGAUUGACUAAAUCACAAAAGCAAAAUUUCAGUCGUUUUUCAUAUAGAGUGGCAGAUCAUAGCAUUGCUGAAAUGGACUAAAAUUAAGGAGAACGGAUGAGGACAAAAAUGAUGUAAAAUCAGGUCUGGGUUUAAAAUGGGCAUAAGUAGUACAAUACUAGCUUCAGUAGAACUGUAUCGUAAUGCACAAAGGCUCAGUAACUGCAAUACUAAUUUACUCAAGGAAGAGUUGCACAAUUUACUCAAGUAAGGGGUGCUCAAUUUUGUCAUCAGAACAAACUAUAAUAGGAUGGUGGGAAGUAUAUGUUGAUGCGUACACACCUUCAAAACUAUAACUAUGUACCAAUGCACAAAGGAGUAGCAGCUGCAAUAUUAAUUUACACAAGGAAGAACCGGUCAAUUCUUUCAUCAGAAUAAACUUUAAUAGGAUGGUACAAAUUCUAUAAACCUUGAACGGGUGCAUAGUACCUUCCAAAGCCUAUUAACAUCAAGAUGUAGUAAGGCGAGAGAAUAAUGAUUGUAACUAUCUUUUCCUUCAAACAUUUGAGAAAGCUUAGAGAAUCCGCUCAGCUGCCUUUUCCCCCAAUGUUCUCUUUUCCUUCUUUUAACUGCAAAAAUGAAGUAUGUUCCACACUUUGUUUGGCAGAACAAACUCGAAAAAUCAGUGUUGUUACCGACAGACUUACAUAUUGCAUGAGAGAUUCUGGACGUAUUUAUGCUAACUAAAUUCAGGAAAAUCCCAAAAGCAUGAUAAUUUUGUAGCCUGGUAUAAGCCUCGUUUCAGCCCUCAUGGUGCAUCUCGAAGCCCUACAAUCAAGACCAAAACAUCACUCCAUACUAAAAUCUCUAAACACCAGUUCAUCUAACUAAUCGAGCAAGUAGCAGUCCUGCACUAAAACGCCUAAACACCAGUUUAGUUAUCUAUAUUAUACACAUAUCUGCUACUACAAAAUCUAAAAAAUGAGAAACUGGACCCUCAGCAACAUUGUCCAACGCACACUGCAUGUGGUCUCGGAACCUUGAACCAGGCAAGGAAAGAAGCAAAGCACUUUGUUUUUCUAGAUUCUGUAAAAAAAAUACUUAAGGAGGGUGUAGCUAAGCGGAACAACAAAGAUAAAUAUUUCAAAAAUAUACCCACAGAAUAACUUGGCAUAGGAUAAGAUCUUGCAUGCGAAGCUGGUUUUAGAGACAGAGAAGACUAUGCCUAAUACCCACAGAACUGCUCUAGUAAAUUGCCUAUUGUCUAUCACUACUAACAACACUAUCGGUCAAUUAAGUUACUUCAUCCCAUUAUAAUUGAACAAAAUAAGGAUAAAUAUGCACUUCAAGCCGUCUCAGUCUUUUCUCAAACAAAUAACAUCAGGAUCAUCAUCAGUAAGAAGUGCACACAAAAGUCAUGCCUCAUCAGUUGAUAAAUAAUGAAGCAAUAAUCAGAAUAUAUAAAAUGGGAAUAAAAAUAAAUGGCAGAAAUCAUCCAUCAACAGAGCUAAAAUGGGACGGGAGUGACAUGAGUAUGCUAGAUUGACACUAAAUAGAAAUCUAUAAGCAUGGACACUACUGUAUUAAAAGAAAAUAACAGAAAAAUAUAGAAAUGGUUAAUAUGCUAAUGUUUUCGCCAUAAGAACAAGAAAGGUGUAACAUGAGUAAGGAUCUACGUUAUAAAUGUAUACACUAUACAACUCUAAAAAUAAUUUUAGAAAACUUUCAGUGUCCAACUAUCGGUAUACUUGUUUUCCUCUACAGAGAAGAAAAUUAGAUAGCAAGCUUUCGGUGUCCACCUCAUGUUACCAAGUGAAGUAAACUUUUGCCGUCCAGGUUGGUUGUUAAGUUACUCAUGAAUCGAAUAUAGCUAUAUGAUAACAUUAUCACCUCUUAUUUCAAUUGGUGCAUGUACCCGAGGUCAGAUGCAUGCCUUUGAUUCCUCCCAUAGUUUUUUGUCCGGUCGAUUAGAAUAGUCGCAAGCAUAGCUAAGAACUAACCUAUAGUGGGAGCGAGGUUUGCUAGAAUGCCCUGGCCUAGUGGCAUGCUUGAAUGCUAUGCUGACUGGUGGUGUAAGUUUAGGAAUUAGUUUACUUCUUUAACAAAAUAGGAAAGGCGUGGUUAUAUCAGAGAAAUCAAUGCAAGAAAUUAAAUUGCUUUCCAGGGAACCACUAUUUAAAUUUCCAUACAGAAGUCUAAUCUUCAAUUUGCUUGUAUCUUUAGGACAAAAAUAACUGCAGCUACGAAUCAUCAUCUGUACAUAGGUCCCAAAAAAAGAUAUGAAUCUGGUAACAGAAAUACCUUGCAAUAUCUCUAAUGCAUACUUCAAAUAACAAAUUUCUUCGUCUGGUAACAGAAAUACCUUGCAAUAUCUCUAGUGCAUACUUCAAAUAACAAAUUUCUUCCUUAGUCAUGCAAGUAUCCACAAAGCACUUUCCUUGACGAUGAGCAACCUUACUAACAAUCCUACAAAUAUUGAUUAAAGGAGGAGAAACAAAUAGCAAAAACUUUUAGAUAUUGACAUAGGCAUAGCUUGCGAUGAUUACGAAAUGAGAUAAAAAUGGGAGUGGCCAACUAUUUGUUCUUACACUGAGCAGACCGCCUCAACACAUCAUCAAAGCUACCUUACACCAAGAUAACAUGGAGAUAAAUGUGAAUUGACAGAAACUGAAAUGUUCUGUGAGGAAUAGAAACAGCAGGCUGCUUAUGUAAGAAAAGACCGACAUGCCUAUUUAAAAAUAGACCAGAUAGUAGACAGAUCGUCCAUAUGCACUCAC